AAAAAAAAAAUUCGUAGGAUCAAAAGGGUCGAAACCCUUAUGGACUUCAUCUUCUGGCCGCAGCCUCUCUCUCUCUCUCUCUCUCUUCGAGUUUCUCACUUGUGGCUCUGUCAUCUUCUUCUCUCUCUCUUUCUCUCUCAUGCUGAAACCCUAGCUCCUGUCAUUCUUCUUCUGUCGAUCGAAGAUUUGUUCCUCGUGGCCAUCGUCUUCUACGUUUUCGCUCCGUCGUUGACUUCUACAACCCAAUUAGAUUCAAAAUAUUGUUAG